UUUGGUGGCACAUGUUCAUUUUUAUUCGGCGUCGGUGUUUUCAGCUUUUUUCAGCGUUUUUGGAAGUUAAUUGGAGAAGUACAAGUGAGAUUUACGUUAUUCCUUAUCGGAUGAAGAAAGAAACUACCUACGACGAAAGAUUAAAUCUUUCCAUCCGCGAUUACAUAAUCGCUAGUGGCGUGGUUCCCAUCAACGAGAUUUUCUUACAAUUGGGAGACGAUUUCUUCAUCGUCCGGGUUCCGAUCGGAAUCCCCAGAACUCGAAAGACCCCCCAUCUUUCCCACUUAUACGACAGCAGUCGUAUGUAAGUGUUUCACAAUUGGAAGCAAUCCUUUUGUGAGGGGGUCGGCCAUACAUAUGGUUUUAUAUUUUUUCGACAUCGAAAAAAUAGAGUUUUCUGGCUCGUCCGGCUAUGGAUGAGGCGCCCGGGAUACUGGGACAUAAUGAACAAUUUUUUAUGGCUGUUGGAAUGCAUUUACUCCAUCGUAAGUAUAUUUUUUAGGCCCUUCAAUUAAUUCUGAUGUCAUUGUUGAGCCCCUUGAGACGGAUUUAAAGCAAAAUGGCCUUUAAGCUAUGGGGUCGAUAGUCCCAACACAAAGUUUGAUGUGUCAUGACAUUUUGGCAAGUCAGAUUAAUACCUUUUUGAAAUCCGGUGUGUCCGAAGAUUGUCUCAGUGACCUUUUGCGUUGAUAUCCUGUGCCGAAGAAUUGCCCGCUCAAUAACUCUCCUAAAUUGAAUGUGCAGAUGAAAUCUGCCAUCAACAAAGGUGGAAAGAAAAGGGAUGAGAGACUGACUGCAACAAGGGGUGCUUUGAUGGUGGUUGGUAGGACGCUCUUGACCUUGCUUUUGAAACUGGUUAAGGAUGAGUAGUACUUACUUCUCAUCGAAAUGUUGAGUAAUGCAAUAUUUGUUUUAAGCAAAAUACACCAUUUAGGUUCAGUAUAUAGAAGUUCAGCCGCGUUAAGCCUUUCGCUGGUCUCAAAUGAAAUGCAGCCUUGUAUGAAGGAAGUGCUCGUUGAUGCUUCUUUGCACUCUUGUUUAUAUGGAGAAGAUUUGGCUGAUAGGCUCAAAUCAAUCAGAUUAGCUGCAGAUUAGUGGCCGAGUUAAAGUCAGGUGCAUCCGGAACAAGACUUUUAUAGCAUACAAAUUUAAACUCGACUGUCCCACUUCGUUCCCGGAAGUUGCAAGGCUGAAGUGGGUGAAAGUCAUUGUACCCUCAAAAGAGGGAAUACAGGAAGGUUCGAGAGGAAAGGGGGUGGAGUUGUGUCCCCAGGAAAAAAUAUUUACAGAAUCCUGAAUGCCCUGUAAGGCAGCAAUGUUACAAACUUGAGAUUUUCUCAGAUGGUACUCCUUUGGGUUGGGGAAUUGUGCCAGAGGACUUUGGAGUCCUAGGGAAGCUCAGUUUCAUAUUAAUGCACUAGAAUUAACUGCGGCCUCAUUUGGUCUCUAAUGCUUCGCCUCGUAUUUGACUAACUGCGAGACACUUUUGAGGAUUGAUAAGACAACUGCUAUUUUGUAUGUAAAUAGAAUAGGGUGAGUAAAAUUUCCUGUUUUAAACGAAAUUUCGAGGCGCCUUGGGGUUGGUGUGAAGAAAGGAGGUUAUGGGUUAAAGCAUCUUACAUUCGAUCUUCCGAUAAUUUUGAAGCGCAUAAGGAACCCACGAAUUUGAAUUUUGAUGGUGAAUGGUACCUUUCGGACAAUGCUUUUGCUAAAAUAACAAGCAAAUUUGGAUUCCCAUAAAUCGAACUGUUUGCUUCUCGCCUAAGUAAGAAAUGCAGAAAGUUUAUUUCCUAAUUUCCAGAUCCGGAGGCAUCUAAUGAAGACGCGUUUACUGUUUUUUGGAGCGACAGUUUCUUCUAUGUUUUCCCCCCGUUUUGCUUGUUGCCACUUGUUUUACGAAAAAUCAAGGCUGAUUGAGCUACAGGGAUCGCAGUAAUCCCUUACGGGCACAGCCAGCAUUGACAAAUUACCUUCUUCUUUUGACAGGAGAGGUCACCCUUUGUGGAAAUCCCUUACCCUGGCUGCAGGGAUUUUGUCAGGCAAGCAUUCCAGAAGAUUUGCUGGAUAUUUUUCUAUCAUCUGUUCAGAGCGCUACCUUGAGGCAUUUAUUACCUGCAUGCAUUUAAACUUUGGUGGAGCUUCUACGAAAGGAGGGGAGUGGAGUGUUAUUACUUCUCACCUAGGCUGUAUUAGAUUUCCUUACUAUUCAUUUUAGACAAGACAAGUCCUAUGGCUCAUUGAGUUCUUUCAGUGCAGCACGGCCUUAUUUUUGGAUCAGAUUUAUUUAACAAUGCAAAUCUAACUAGGUUUUUUAAGGUGUUUAUAAUCUAAGGCCAAGUAAACCAAGAUAUAACAGCACUUGGGGCCCUAGUUAUGUCCCUGACUUUGUAAAAGGGUUACGUUCUAAUGACUUGUCAUUAAAGCAAUUAACUGUCAUUAAAACAAUUAAAUUAGUUUCUCCUACUGAAGUUAACGAUUGUACAUAGAGUCCAAACGCUCUCUCUUAUAGAAUUGGUCAACAUAAAAUCAUUUCCAGAUGGAUUAGAAAUUAGAAUAACGAAUCAAAUUAAGAUUUCAGCUAUAAAUAAGACUCGACCUGUUUUUUAAUUUUGCAUAUAUAUAUUAUUGAGAGGGCCAGUGCUUUAAGAGGCAGUGAAUCUCGUUUACUCAUUACAUUUAAAAAGCCUUGUAGGGCAGCAACUAUACCCAACAAAAGUAGAUGAAUAAAGAUAACUUUAGAAGAUAGUGUUGUCUACACUUUUAUUUUUACUGUUCACAGAACUCGACAUGCCUCAACAUCGUCUGCGUUUUGUAAAGGUGUUUCAAUUGAUAUGAUUGGAAAAACGGCAGAUUGGUGAGAAUGCUCUAAAUGUUUUCCCCUUUUUUAUAAUAUAUUUGUACAGCAAGUGCAGUCCUUUUUGUUAAUGCCACAUUUGGGACAUAGAAUUUUUCAGAAGGUUUGUUUUCUCGGAUAGCCAUUUAUUUUGUAUUUGUACUCGAGGCUUUCAUAAACUUCCUGGAUUUCCUUAUAUAGCCGAAUAAAAUCGUUUUAUAACAAAUUUGCUGAGUUGCCUUUGAAAGUCUACGUAUAUUGAUUUCAUAGAAGAGGUGUAACAUAUAAUUCAAUGAUCAAACGAACUUACCUGGUAAGUGAAGUUCGAUCGUAAUUAUAUGUUACACCUCUUCGUAGAAAUCACCCAUUCCCGCCCAAUUUACUGUUCUGAACAGUACUAAAAUGCCCUUUGGCAAAUUUAUUAUAAACGGGCUUUAAAAUAGAAUGAGGUUAAGACCAUAGAUGGCGAAUAUACCGUCCAUGGUAAGUUAUUCCACAGUUUUUUGGCUCUGCUUUAAAGCUGUGGUGCCACCUAGCGACUAGAAGGGGGACUACGUAUAUUGAUUUCUACGAAGAGGUGUAACAUAUAAUU